rnacentral:rRNA from 1 species
AAUGAACGCUGGCGGCGUGGAUUAGGCAUGCAAGUCGAACGCGAAAGUUCCCUUCGGGGAGCGAGUAGAGUGGCGAAAGGGUGAGUAAUGCUUGGAUGACCUGCCCUCGAGACGGGGACAACAGUUCGAAAGGACUGCUAAUACCCGAUAGUCCGGUUUAGAUGCGUCUAGAUCGGUAAAUGGUGCUUCCGCUCGAGGAGGGGUUCAAGUCCUAUCAGCUUGUUAGUGAGGUAACGGCUCACCAAGGCGAUGACGGGUAGCCGGACUGAGAGGUUGGCCGGCCACAUGGGAACUGAGACACUGUCCUGACUCCUACGGGAGGCUGCAGUCGAGAAUCUUGGGCAAUGGGCGAAAGCCUGACCCAGCAACGCCGCGUGAAGGAUGAAGUAUUUCGGUAUGUAAACUUCGAAAGUAUGGGAAGAAUAAAUGACGGUACCAUACAUAAGCUCCGGCUAACUACGUG